rnacentral:tRNA from 1 species
GCUCCCAUAGCUUAGUUGGUAGAGCGCAAUGCUUAUAACGUUGAUGUCAGGGGUUCGAGCCCCCUUGGGAGCA